rnacentral:lncRNA from 1 species
CUGCUAUUAGUAGCACUCCACCACCACCCCGACCACCAGCUGGUGCCAAACCUGGCCCACCCCUACCACUACUGCCAGCACUAGCUGGUGCCAGACCUGGUCCUCCUCCACCACCUCCAGCCUCAGUUGGUGCCAAACCUGGUCCUCCACCACCACCCCCAGGACCAGCUGGUGCCAAACCUGGUCCACCUCCUCCACCACCCCCAGCUGGUGCCAAACCUGGUUCUCGUCCACCACCACCUCCUCCUAUGAGUGGUGUGGCUCCUCCUCGACCUCCGCCCCCGUUUGGUUCAAAGGUGCAACGUCC